rnacentral:rRNA from 1 species
UACGUAGGGUGCAAGCGUUUGUCCGGAAUUAUUGGGCGUAAAGAGCUCGUAGGCGGCCUGUCACGUCGACUGUGAAAACCCAGGGCUCAACCCUGGGCCGCAGUCGAUACGGGCAGGCUAGAGUGUGGUAGGGGAGACUGGAAUUCCUGGUGUAGCGGUGAAAUGCGCAGAUAUCAGGAGGAACACCGGUGGCGAAGGCGGGUCUCUGGGCCAUAACUGACGCUGGAGGAGCGAAAGCGUGGGGAGCGAACAGG